rnacentral:rRNA from 1 species
GACGAACGCUGGCGGCGUGCCUAAUACAUGCAAGUCGAACGCAGUGGGGACGGGUGAGUGACACGUGGGUAACCUCCCAUCAGAGGGGAUAACACGUGGAAACAGGUGCUAAACCGAUACUGAGGGAGGGAGCCGCGGUGCAUGAGCUAGGUGGUGAGGUAACGGCUCACCAAGGCCACGAUGCAUAGCCGACCUGAGAGGGUGAUCGGCCACACUGGGACUGAGACACGGCCCAGCCUCCUACGGGAGGCAGCAGUAGGGAAUCUUCGGCAAUGGACGAAAGUCUGACCGAGCCACGCCGCGUGAGUGAAGAAGGUUUUCGGAUCGUAAAACUCUGUUGUUAGAGAAGCGGUAUCUAACCAGAAAGCCACGGCUAACUACGUGCCAGCAGCCGCGGUAAUUC